rnacentral:rRNA from 1 species
GAUUAACGCUAGCGGCAGGCCUAACACAUGCAAGUCGAGGGGUAACAGGUGUAGCAAUACAUGCUGACGACCGGCGCACGGGUGAGUAACGCGUAUGCAACCUACCUUUAACAGGAAGAUAGCCCCGAGAAAUCGGGAUUAAUACUCCAUAAUGAUUAAGAAUCGCAUGGUUUUUAAUUUAAAGUUCCGACGGUUAAAGAUGGGCAUGCGUGACAUUAGUUAGUUGGUGAGGUAACGGCUCACCAAGACCACGAUGUCUAGGGGUUCUGAGAGGAUUAUCCCCCACACUGGUACUGAGACACGGACCAGACUCCUACGGGAGGCAG